rnacentral:rRNA from 1 species
ACCAGACUCCUACGGGAGGCAGCAGUGGAGAAUAUUGCACAAUGGGGGGAACCCUGAUGCAGCGACGCCGCGUGGGUGAAGGAGCACUUCGGUGCGUAAAGCCCUAUCGGCAGGGAAGAAACAGACGGUACCUGACUAAGAAGCCCCGGCUAACUACGUGCCAGCAGCCGCGGUAAUACGUAGGGGGCAAGCGUUAUCCGGAUUCACUGGGUGUAAAGGGAGCGUAGACGGCGACGCAAGUCUGGAGUGAAAGCCCGGGGCCCAACCCCGGGACUGCUCUGGAAACUGCGUCGCUGGAGUACGGGAGGGGCAGGCGGAAUUCCUGGUGUAGCGGUGAAAUGCGUAGAUAUCAGGGGGAACACCGGCGGCGAAGGCGGCCUGCUGGACCGUGACUGACGUUGAGGCUCGAGAGCGUGGGGAGCAAACAGGAUUAGAUACCCCUGUAGU